rfam:Laccaria bicolor S238N-H82 LACBIscaffold_1 genomic scaffold, whole genome shotgun sequence.
GCCCGCCUAGCUCAAUCGGAUAGAGCGUCAGACUUUUACGGAGGUCCGGGUGAUCUGAAGGCUGCGAGUUCGACCCUCGCGGUGGGCU